rnacentral:rRNA from 1 species
GGGCAGUCUAGUCCGUGAGUACAGUGAACCGCGAAUGGCUCAUUAAAUCACACCUAAUCUAUUAGAUCGAUGCGUUCUUACUUGGAUAACUGAGGUAAUUCUUGAGCUAAUACAUGCGAUAAACCCUGACUUUAUUAGAGGGGGUUUUUUUUAAAAAAAAACCCACCGGGGUCCCUUCGUUGUUGUGAUGACUAUGGAUAAUUUUGCGCAAACCGCAUGGCCUUAAGCCGGCGGCGUAUCUUUCACAUGUCUGCCCUAUCAACUUUCUAUGGUCUGUGACAUGCCUACCAUGGUUGCAACGGGUAACGGGCAAUGGGCCGGGAGCGGGGGGCCGGGCGCGGGCCGGGGCCGGCGACG